rnacentral:rRNA from 1 species
UACGAAGGGGGCUAGCGUUGUUCGGAAUUACUGGGCGUAAAGGGCUCGUAGGCGGCUUGUCGCGUCGGGAGUGAAAGCCCGCUGCUUAACGGCGGGUUUGCUUUCGGUACGGGCAGGCUGGAGUACGGCAGAGGAGACUGGAAUUCCUGGUGUAGCGGUGGAAUGCGCAGAUAUCAGGAGGAACACCGGUGGCGAAGGCGGGUCUCUGGGCCGUUACUGACGCUGAGGAGCGAAAGCGUGGGGAGCGAACAGG